GACGAACGCUGGCGGCGUGCUUAACACAUGCAAGUCGAACGGAAAGGCCCUGCUUUUGUGGGGUGCUCGAGUGGCGAACGGGUGAGUAACACGUGAGUAACCUGCCCUUGACUUUGGGAUAACUUCAGGAAACUGGGGCUAAUACAGGAUAGGAGCUCCUGCUGCAUGGUGGGGGUUGGAAAGUUUCGGCGGUUGGGGAUGGACUCGCGGCUUAUCAGCUUGUUGGUGGGGUAGUGGCUUACCAAGGCUUUGACGGGUAGCCGGCCUGAGAGGGUGACCGGCCACAUUGGGCCUGCGAUACGGCCCAGACUCCUACGGGAGGCAGCAGUGGGGAAUAUUGCACAAUGGGCGGAAGCCUGAUGCAGCAACGCCGCGUGCGGGAUGACGGCCUUCGGGUUGUAAACCGCUUUCGCCUGUGACGAAGCGUGAGUGACGGUAAUGGGUAAAGAAGCACCGGCUAACUACGUG
rnacentral:rRNA from 1 species